rnacentral:rRNA from 1 species
UACGUAGGGUGCGAGCGUUGUCCGGAAUUAUUGGGGCGUAAAGAGCUCGUAGGCGGUCUGUCGCGUCGGGAGUGAAAACUCAGGGCUUAACCCUGAGCCUGCUUCCGAUACGGGCAGACUAGAGGUAUGCAGGGGAGAACGGAAUUCCUGGUGUAGCGGUGGAAUGCGCAGAUAUCAGGAGGAACACCGGUGGCGAAGGCGGCAUCCUGGACCGGCAUUGACGCUGAGGAGCGAAAGCCAGGGGAGCAAACGGG